rnacentral:rRNA from 1 species
GGAUGAGCCCGCGGCCUAUCAGCUUGUUGGUGAGGUAACGGCUCACCAAGGCGACGACGGGUAGCCGGCCUGAGAGGGCGACCGGCCACACUGGGACUGAGACACGGCCCAGACUCCUACGGGAGGCAGCAGUGGGGAAUAUUGCACAAUGGGCGAAAGCCUGAUGCAGCGGCGCCGCGUGAGGGAUGACGGCCUUCGGGUUGUAAACCUCUUUCAGCAGGGAAGAAGCGAAAGUGACGGUACCUGCAGAAGAAGCGCCGGCUAACUACGUGCCAGCAGCCGCGGUAAUACGUAGGGCGCAAGCGUUGUCCGGAAUUAUUGGGCGUAAAGAGCUCGUAGGCGGCUUGUCACGUCGGUUGUGAAAGCCCGGGGCUUAACCCCGGGUCUGCAGUCGAUACGGGCAGGCUAGAGUUCGGUAGGGGAGAUCGGAAUUCCUGGUGUAGCGGUGAAAUGCGCAGAUAUCAGGAGGAACACCGGUGGCGAAGGCGGAUCUCUGGGCCGAUACUGACGCUGAGGGGCGAAAGCGUGGGGAGCGAACAGGAUUAGAUACCCUGGUAGUCCACGCCGUAAACGGUGGGCACUAGGUGUGGGCAACAUUCCACGUUGUCCGUGCCGCAGCUAACGCAUUAAGUGCCCCGC